rnacentral:rRNA from 1 species
GAUGAACGCUGGCGGCGUGCCUAAUACAUGCAAGUCGAGCGAACGGACGAGAAGCUUGCUUCUCUGAUGUUAGCGGCGGACGGGUGAGUAACACGUGGAUAACCUACCUAUAAGACUGGGAUAACUUCGGGAAACCGGAGCUAAUACCGGAUAAUAUUUUGAACCGCAUGGUUCAAAAGUGAAAGACGGUCUUGCUGUCACUUAUAGAUGGAUCCGCGCUGCAUUAGCUAGUUGGUAAGGUAACGGCUUACCAAGGCAACGAUGCAUAGCCGACCUGAGAGGGUGAUCGGCCACACUGGAACUGAGACACGGUCCAGACUCCUACGGGAGGCAGCAGUAGGGAAUCUUCCGCAAUGGGCGAAAGCCUGACGGAGCAACGCCGCGUGAGUGAUGAAGGUCUUCGGAUCGUAAAACUCUGUUAUUAGGGAAGAACAUAUGUGUAAGUAACUGUGCACAUCUUGACGGUACCUAAUCAGAAAGCCACGGCUAACUACGUGCCAGCAGCCGCGGUAAUACGUAGGUGGCAAGCGUUAUCCGGAAUUAUUGGGCGUAAAGCGCGCGUAGGCGGUUUUUUAAGUCUGAUGUGAAAGCCCACGGCUCAACCGUGGAGGGUCAUUGGAAACUGGAAAACUUGAGUGCAGAAGAGGAAAGUGGAAUUCCAUGUGUAGCAGUGAAAUGCGCAGAGAUAUGGAGGAACACCAGUGGCGAAGGCGACUUUCUGGUCUGUAACUGACGCUGAUGUGCGAAAGCGUGGGGAUCAAACAGGAUUAGAUACCCUGGUAGUCCACGCCGUAAACGAUGAGUGCUAAGUGUUAGGGGGUUUCCGCCCCUUAGUGCUGCAGCUAACGCAUUAAGCACUCCGCCUGGGGAGUACGACCGCAAGGUUGAAACUCAAAGGAAUUGACGGGGACCCGCACAAGCGGUGGAGCAUGUGGUUUAAUUCGAAGCAACGCGAAGAACCUUACCAAAUCUUGACAUCCUUUGACAACUCUAGAGAUAGAGCUUUCCCCUUCGGGGGACAAAGUGACAGGUGGUGCAUGGUUGUCGUCAGCUCGUGUCGUGAGAUGUUGGGUUAAGUCCCGCAACGAGCGCAUCCCUUAAGCUUAGUUGCCAUCAUUAAGUUGGGCACUCUAAGUUGACUGCCGGUGACAAACCGGAGGAAGGUGGGGAUGACGUCAAAUCAUCAUGCCCCUUAUGAUUUGGGCUACACACGUGCUACAAUGGACAAUACAAAGGGCAGCGAAACCGCGAGGUCAAGCAAAUCCCAUAAAGUUGUUCUCAGUUCGGAUUGUAGUCUGCAACUCGACUACAUGAAGCUGGAAUCGCUAGUAAUCGUAGAUCAGCAUGCUACGGUGAAUACGUUCCCGGGUCU